AUCAAAUAACAACAUCAAGGUCAACCCCUGUCAAUCAAAUAACAACAUCAAGGUCAACCCCUGUCAAUCAAAUAACAACAUCAAGGUCAACCCCUGUCAAUCAAAUAACAACAUCAAGGUCAACCCCUGUCAAUCAAAUAACAACAUCAAGGUCAACCCCUGUCAAUCAAAUAACAACAUCAAGGUCAACCCCUGUCAAUCAAAUAACAACAUCAAGGUCAACCCCUGUCAAUCAAAUAACAACAUCAAGGUCAACCCCUGUCAAUCAAAUAACAACAUCAAGGUCAACCCCUGUCAAUCAAAUAACAACAUCAAGGUCAACCCCUGUCAAUCAAAUAACAACAUCAAGGUCAACCCCUGUCAAUCAAAUAACAACAUCAAGGUCAACCCCUGUCAAUCAAAUAACAACAUCAAGGUCAACCCCUGUCAAUCAAAUAACAACAUCAAGGUCAACCCCUGUCAAUCAAAUAACAACAUCAAGGUCAACCCCUGUCAAUCAAAUAACAACAUCAAGGUCAACCCCUGUCAAUCAAAUAACAACAUCAAGGUCAACCCCUGUCAAUCAAAUAACAACAUCAAGGUCAACCCCUGUCAAUCAAAUAAC